rnacentral:snoRNA from 2 species
UGGCGAUGAUGAUUAAACGAAGGCUUGUUUCUCAAAACAUUCGCAGAUGCCGCCUAAGAGCUUUCGCCCUGCCAGGCUUGAGAGCUAAUGCUGCUAAUUCCUUCCUUGGAUGUCUGAGCCA